UAGGUAAGGAUAGUGUGGGUUAACAAAGAACAUAGGCUUAACAAGGUUCAACGGGGUUAAACUUAAACACAUAAUGAAAUAGGGGCACGGCAAUUUGGCUUUGGUGGUUACUACACAACUUCAUCUUGAAUAUGUGUUAUGCAAAUCAAUAGCAUGCUUUGAAUGAAAUAGGCAUGAGUUCUAGCAUUUGGAACUAAAUGAUAAAACACCUUCUAAGUAGCAACCACGCAAAGAAUAAUGAGAUCAUGCAACGACUUUAGAAAACAAUGAUGCACAGAUUAUUAACUCUCCAAAUAAACGUUUAGGCCCAAGUCUCACAAGGUUGUAGCGUUCAUUUGAGUUCCUUCCUUCAAGCAUGUUACAAAAACUGAUUUUUCCUUUAUGAUUGCAUGUGAAUUCAUAAUUAUAACCACAACCAAGCAUACACCAAAGAGUAAAUCAAUUUUCAUCCAUGUUUAUGACUCUCUUUAACAGUCAUGUAAUUAAAAACCAAAUCCUCAUCAUUGUGUUGGAAGGUACCCUAAGACACAAAUAAACACACAAAAACAACUCUUUUUGGGUUUUUCAAAACAAUUUUUCAAAUUUUUUAUGAGAUUUUCGGAUUUUUAUGUCAAAACACACUAUAACACUCCAAAACAGCUUAAAAACACUUAAAACAGCAAGGAACAACACUAGAAGUAAUGGGUGAUAAACUCCUACGAAUUUCAUGCAAAACAAUGGUUACCCCCCACACUUAAACCAAACAUUGUCCUUAAUGUUUCAAGCAUAAACUCACACAAAAACAAGCAAACAAACAAACAACGAAUAAACAUGACAAGUAUGGCAAAGUAAAAACCAGACAGAGUAGAGUUUAAGAACGCAAAUUUGGUUUUAGAGAUAGAUGAACUUGUUGACUUUCCACAGCUUUGAUCUCGAACUGGUUUGGAAUUCUGAGCGAAGACUAUGAGAGUUCCUUGGUUUCAAAUCAGACUCCUUCUUCUCGGUUGAUUUGAUUGUGCAGUCUGCAUUCUUCUCUGCUUGUUUCUUCUGCACGGCAG
rnacentral:lncRNA from 1 species